GCUCAGAUUGAACGCUGGCGGCAGGCCUAACACAUGCAAGUCGAACGGUAACAGGAAGAAGCUUGCUUCUUUGCUGACGAGUGGCGGACGGGUGAGUAAUGUCUGGGAAACUGCCUGAUGGAGGGGGAUAACUACUGGAAACGGUAGCUAAUACCGCAUAACGUCGCAAGACCAAAGAGGGGGACCUUCGGGCCUCUUGCCAUCGGAUGUGCCCAGAUGGGAUUAGCUUGUUGGUGGGGUAACGGCUCACCAAGGCGACGAUCCCUAGCUGGUCUGAGAGGAUGACCAGCCACACUGGAACUGAGACACGGUCCAGACUCCUACGGGAGGCAGCAGUA
rnacentral:rRNA from 1 species